UGUGUGUGAGGGGAGACAUAACUGGCUGUACAAUACAGAGGGAUGGGGGAGGAGACAAUACACACUAAUCGAUACACAAGGAUGUGGUGGGGAACUCAUAUUUAAAAGAACCUCUUUUGUUAAUUUUAUCCCUGGCCACUACAGAUAGUUGAAUCAGAGCUACCUGGACAGUCUGGGCAUCAAGUACCUAUAUACCUGGCUGGAAGCUAGGCCCCUUGGGGAGAACGACCUAUGACCUUUGGAGAGGUGGGCUGUUUCCUUAGUCACCACACGAUAUGGCAGCAGAUGAUGACGGAGGGUCUGGAUCAAAUCCUGAUUCUGGAGGAUGAUGUCGUGUUUGAUCCCUACUUCCGACAUGACAUCACUAGAGUGCUGGAAGAGGCCAAUCGGAUCACACCAAACUGGGACCUCAUGGGAUGGGUCUUCAGUCUUCACUGGGCCCUGUGACCGUGGCAACCUGAACAUGGUGAAACUACUUGUAAAGAGGGGAGCAGAUGUUAAUAUUGAGGACACAGACAAUCAGACACCUCUUCAUUAUGGUGAGAGAUGGAGUAUUCCUUUACAGAGGGUGCUUGUGUGUUAAUACAUGUUGAAGCUAGCUGUCUGUUUGUAGAUCUUUGUUUGAGUCCAAUGCUCCCUCUACUGAAUAGUGAGGGAAGUCAGUUUGGCUGUGUAUCUAUGGUAACCAGUGAGA